AGAGCGAACGCUGGCGGCAGGCCUAACACAUGCAAGUCGAGCGCCCGUAGCAAUACGGGAGCGGCAGACGGGAUAGUAACACGUGGGAACGCGCCCUUCGGUUCGGAAUAACUCAGGGAAACUUGAGCUAAUACCGGAUACGCCCUUACGGGGAAAGAUUUAUUGCCGAAGGAACGGCCCGCGUCCGAUUAGCUAGUUGGUGAGGUAAUGGCUCACCAAGGCGACGAUCGGUAGCUGGUCUGAGAGGAUGACCAGCAUCACUGGGACUGAGACACGGCCCAGACUCCUACGGGAGGCAGCAGUGGGGAAUAUUGGACAAUGGGCGCAAGCCUGAUCCAGCCAUGCCGCGUGGAUGAUGAAGGCCUUAGGGUUGUAAAGUCCUUUUAACGGGGAGAUAAUGACGGUACCGUAGAAUAAGCCCCGGCUAACUUCGUGCCAGCAGCCGC
rnacentral:rRNA from 1 species